rnacentral:rRNA from 1 species
GCAGCCAGCUCUGUGCGGAUCCCUGCCCCAACGGGUGAGUAACACGUGAGUUACCUGCCCCCGACUCUGGGAUAACUGCUAGAAAUGGUAGCUAAUACCGGAUAUGACGACUGGCCGCAUGGUCUGGUCGUGGAAAGAAUUUCGGUUGGGGAUGGACUCGCGGCCUAUCAGGUUGUUGGUGAGGUAAUGGCUCACCAAGCCUACGACGGGUAGCCGGCCUGAGAGGGUGACCGGCCACACUGGGACUGAGACACGGCCCAGACUCCUACGGGAGGCAGCAGUGGGGAAUAUUGCACAAUGGGCGCAAGCCUGAUGCAGCAACGCCGCGUGAGGGAUGACGGCCUUCGGGUUGUAAACCUCUUUUAGUAGGGAAGAAGCGAAAGUGACGGUACCUGCAGAAAAAGCACCGGCUAACUACGUGCCAGCAGCCGCGGUAAUACGUAGGGUGCAAGCGUUGUCCGGAAUUAUUGGGCGUAAAGAGCUCGUAGGCGGUUUGUCGCGUCUGCUGUGAAAUCCCGAGGCUCAACCUCGGGUCUGCAGUGGGUACGGGCAGACUAGAGUGCGGUAGGGGAGAUUGGAAUUCCUGGUGUAGCGGUGGAAUGCGCAGAUAUCAGGAGGAACACCGAUGGCGAAGGCAGAUCUCUGGGCCGUAACUGACGCUGAGGAGCGAAAGCAUGGGGAGCGAACAGGAUUAGAUACCCUGGUAAGUCAUGCCGUAACC